UCAGAGGAUCAGCUGAGGAGGCACCUGGGGAAGACCCGAGGGUAAAAGCAGAGAGAACAGUUGGGAGGCUGUCUUCAGAAGAAUUUCACGUGACUGUCAAGGGAAAAUUACCUCUAGUGCUUUCAUCUGUCAAAAUCCUGUCAUCGCUGCGGGUGUGACUCAGGCUAUGAGGUUUUUGUGUGGACAUCAGUUUUCAACUGUUUUGGGUAAAUACCAAGAAGUCCAGCCGCUGGGUCAUGUGUUAAAGGACGUCUGGCUGUGUAAGAAACCACCAAGAAGUCCAGCCGCUGGGUCAUGUGUUAAAGGACGUCUGGCUGUGUAAGAAACCACCAAACCGCCUUCCGAAGUGGCUGCACCAUUUUGCGCUCCCACCGGCAAUGAUGAGAGUUCCUGUCGCUCCCCCAUGCUU